GUUAAAAUAAUUUAAUUAAAAUGUUGGUUUUGUAAACCAAAUUUGGGUAUCCUUUUAACA
rnacentral:tRNA from 1 species